CUUGGUCAUUUAGAGGAAGUAAAAGUCGUAACAAGGUCUCCGUUGGUGAACCAGCGGAGGGAUCAUUACCAGAGUGCCCUAGGCUCUCCAACCCAUUGUGAACUUACCAAACGUUCCCUCGGCGGGCUCAGCGCGCGGUGGCCUCCGGGCCUCCGGGCGUCCGCCGGGGAAAACCAAACCCUGAUUUAAUCGUAUUUCUCUGAGGGGCGAAAGCCCGAAAACAAAAUGAAUCAAAACUUUCAACAACGGAUCUCUUGGCUCUGGCAUCGAUGAAGAACGCAGCGAAAUGCGAUAAGUAAUGUGAAUUGCAGAAUUCAGUGAAUCAUCGAAUCUUUGAACGCACAUUGCGCCCGCCGGCACUCCGGCGGGCAUGCCUGUCCGAGCGUCAUUUCAACCCUCAGGCCCACCCUUCCGGGGGAGCGGGCCUGGUGCUGGGGAUCGGCGGCCCUCGCGGCCCCCGUCCCUCAAAUACAGUGGCGGUCGCGCCGCAGCCUCCCCUGCGUAGUAGCACAACCUCGCACCGGAGAGCGGAACGACCACGCCGUGAAACCCCCAAUUUUUUAAGGUUGACCUCGGAUCAGGUAGGAAUACCCGCUGAACUUAAGCAUAUCAAUAAGCGGAGGAAAAGAAACCAACAGGGAUUGCCUCAGUAACGGCGAGUGAAGCGGCAACAGCUCAAAUUUGAAAUCUGGCCUCACGGUCCGAGUUGUAAUUUGUAGAGGAUGCUUUUGGCGAGGUGCUUUCCGAGUUCCCUGGAGCGGGACGCCAUAGAGGGUGAGAGCCCCGUACGGUAAGACCACCGAGCCUCUGUAAAGCUCCUUCGACGAGUCGAGUUGUUUGGGAAU
rnacentral:sRNA from 1 species